AUUGAACGCUGGCGGCAUGCUUUACACAUGCAAGUCGAACGGCAGCAUGGGUGCUUGCACCUGAUGGCGAGUGGCGAACGGGUGAGUAAUGUAUCGGAACAUAUCCGCAAGUGGGGGAUAACGUAGCGAAAGUUACGCUAAUACCGCAUAUUCCCUGAGGGGGAAAGGAGGGGAUCCGCAAGGACCUUUCGCUUACGGAGUGGCCGAUAUCAGAUUAGCUAGUUGGUGAGGUAAAGGCUCACCAAGGCGACGAUCUGUAGCGGGUCUGAGAGGAUGAUCCGCCACACUGGGACUGAGACACGGCCCAGACUCCUACGGGAGGCAGCAGUGGGGAAUUUUGGACAAUGGGCGCAAGCCUGAUCCAGCCAUGCCGCGUGAGUGAAGAAGGCCUUCGGGUUGUAAAGCUCUUUCAGCUGGAAAAAAAUCGCUUCACCUAAUACGUGGAGUGGAUGAUGGUACCAGCAGAAGAAGCACCGGCUAACUACGUGCCAGCCGCCGCCGUAACAC
rnacentral:rRNA from 1 species